rnacentral:lncRNA from 1 species
AAUGUCCCUGUCUUGAGGUCUAAUGGCGGACGCCAGUAUGUUGGAGUUGGUGGUGGCUUAAGUUUUGAAGGGAGGUAGCAUCCGUUGGAUAUCCACACCAUCCUUCUCGCUGCAGGGUAAAAAAACAGCCUGGAGACUUCCCCGGGCCCGGGGAGGCGGAGACCGGCCAUAUGGAAGGGGGACCCGAGACUUUGGCGGGGGUCACGGGCAGUCUAGGCCCGAGAGGCUGGGGACCAGGAGGAGCUUUCUUGGACUCCGUACUGUUGGUGUAACCAAGGCCUGGAGGUCUGGGUGGCUCAGGUUUCCUGCAGCCAUGUUUCUGUACAACUUAACCUUGCAGAGAGCCACUGGCAUCAGCUUUGCCAUUCAUGGAAACUUUUCUGGAACCAAACAACAAGAAAUUGUUGUUUCCCGUGGGAAGAUCUUGGAGCUGCUUCGCCCAGACCCCAACACUGGCAAAGUACAUACCCUACUCACUGUGGAAGUAUUCGGUGUUAUCCGGUCACUCAUGGCCUUUAGGCUGACAGGU